rnacentral:rRNA from 1 species
GACGAACGCUGGCGGCGUGCCUAAUACAUGCAAGUAGAACGCUGAAGAGAGGAGCUUGCUCUUCUUGGAUGAGUUGCGAACGGGUGAGUAACGCGUAGGUAACCUGCCUUGUAGCGGGGGAUAACUAUUGGAAACGAUAGCUAAUACCGCAUAACAAUGGAUGACACAUGUCAUUUAUUUGAAAGGGGCAAUUGCUCCACUACAAGAUGGACCUGCGUUGUAUUAGCUAGUAGGUGAGGUAAUGGCUCACCUAGGCGACGAUACAUAGCCGACCUGAGAGGGUGAUCGGCCACACUGGGACGGAGACACGGCCCAGACUCCUACGGGAGGCAGCAGUAGGGAAUCUUCGGCAAUGGGGGCAACCCUGACCGAGCAACGCCGCGUGAGUGAAGAAGGUUUUCGGAUCGUAAAGCUCUGUUGUAAGUCAAGAACGGGUGUGAGAGUGGAAAGUUCACACUGUGACGGUAGCUGACCAGAAAGGGACGGCUAACUACGUG